rnacentral:misc_RNA from 1 species
AAUGACGCUGCAACAGGAUUCUU